AGCGAACGCUGGCGGCAGGCCUAACACAUGCAAGUCGAACGAACUCUUCGGAGUUAGUGGCGGACGGGUGAGUAACACGUGGGAACGUGCCUUUAGGUUCGGAAUAACUCAGGGAAACUUGUGCUAAUACCGAAUGUGCCCUUCGGGGGAAAGAUUUAUCGCCUUUAGAGCGGCCCGCGUCUGAUUAGCUAGUUGGUUGGGGUAAUGGUCCACCAAGGCGACGAUCAGUAGCUGGUCUGAGAGGAUGACCAGCCACAUUGGGACUGAGACACGGCCCAAACUCCUACGGGAGGCAGCAGUGGGGAAUCUUGCGCAAUGGGCGAGAGCCUGACGCAGCCAUGCCGCGUGUAUGAUGAAGGUCUUAGGAUUGUGAAAUACUUUCACCGGUGAAGAUAAUGACUGUAGCCGGAGAAGAAGCCCCGGCUAACUUCGUGCCAGCCGCCGCGGUAA
rnacentral:rRNA from 1 species